AGAGUUUGAUCCUGGCUCAGGAUGAACGCUAGCGACAGGCUUAACACAUGCAAGUCGAGGGGCAGCGGGGUAGUGCUUGCACUACUGCCGGCGACCGGCGCACGGGUGAGUAACACGUAUGGAACCUGCCCGCAGCAGGGGGAUAAGCGGAAGAAAUUCCGUCUAAUACCGCGUAAGAACGUUGGGAGGCAUCUCCCGAUGUUUAAAGAUUUAUCGGCUGCGGAUGGCCAUGCGGCGCAUUAGCUAGUCGGCGGGGUAACGGCCCACCGAGGCGACGAUGCGUAGGGGUUCUGAGAGGAAGGUCCCCCACACUGGUACUGAGACACGGACCAGACUCCUACGGGAGGCAGCAGUGAGGAAUAUUGGUCAAUGGCCGAGAGGCUGAACCAGCCAAGUCGCGUGAGGGAAGACGGCCCUACGGGUUGUAAACCUCUUUUGUCGGGGAGCAAAGCGAACCACGUGUGGUUCAUUGAGAGUACCCGAAGAAAAAGCAUCGGCUAACUCCGUGCCAGCAGCCGCGGUAAUACGGAGGAUGCGAGCGUUAUCCGGAUUUAUUGGGUUUAAAGGGUGCGCAGGCGGAGGUGCAAGUCAGCGGUCAAAUUGCGGGGCUCAACCCCGUACUGCCGUUGAAACUGCAUCCCUUGAGUGCGCGAGAAGUAUGCGGAAUGCGUGGUGUAGCGGUGAAAUGCAUAGAUAUCACGCAGAACUCCGAUUGCGAAGGCAGCAUACCGGCGCGCAACUGACGCUCAUGCACGAAAGCGUGGGUAUCGAACAGGAUUAGAUACCCUGGUAGUCCACGCAGUAAACGAUGAACACUAACUGUUCGGCCAGAAUGAUGGCUGAGUGGUACAGCGAAAGCGUUAAGUGUUCCACCUGGGGAGUACGCCGGCAACGGUGAAACUCAAAGGAAUUGACGGGGGCCCGCACAAGCGGAGGAACAUGUGGUUUAAUUCGAUGAUACGCGAGGAACCUUACCCGGGCUCAAACGACACAGGAAUACUUUUGAAAGGAGGUAGCCCUACGGGGUCUGUGUCGAGGUGCUGCAUGGUUGUCGUCAGCUCGUGCCGUGAGGUGUCGGCUUAAGUGCCAUAACGAGCGCAACCCCUAUCGCCAGUUACCAUCAAGUAAAGUUGGGGACUCUGGCGAGACUGCCGGCGCAAGCUGAGAGGAAGGCGGGGAUGACGUCAAAUCAGCACGGCCCUUACGUCCGGGGCGACACACGUGUUACAAUGGCAGGUACAGAGAGAAGCCAGGUGGUGACACCGAGCGGAACUCGAAAGCCUGUCUCAGUUCGGAUCGGAGUCUGCAACCCGACUCCGUGAAGCUGGAUUCGCUAGUAAUCGCGCAUCAGCCAUGGCGCGGUGAAUACGUUCCCGGGCCUUGUACACACCGCCCGUCAAG
rnacentral:rRNA from 1 species